UACGUAGGUGGCAAGCGUUGUCCGGAUUUACUGGGCGUAAAGGGCGCGUAGGCGGUCAGCACAAGUCAGUUGUGAAAUCUCCGGGCUUAACCCGGAAAGGUCAACUGAUACUGUGCGACUAGAGUGCGGAAGGGGCAACUGGAAUUCUCGGUGUAGCGGUGAAAUGCGUAGAUAUCGAGAGGAACACCUGCGGCGAAGGCGGGUUGCUGGGCCGACACUGACGCUGAUGCGCGAAAGCCAGGGGAGCGAACGGG
rnacentral:rRNA from 1 species